AGUCAACCUGCGGAAGUCAGAGCAUUUGCCAAGAAUGUCUUCAUUAAUCAAGAACGAAAGUCAGAGGUUCGAAGGCGAUCAGAUACCGCCCUAGUUCUGACCGUAAACGAUACCAACUAGCGUUCCGUGGCGGUAAAUACGCCUUGGCGGGCAGCUUCCCGGAAACGAAAGUGUUUCGGUUCCGGGGGAAGUAUGGUUGCAAAGCUGAAACUUAAAGAAAUUGACGGAAGGGCACCACCAGGAGUGGAGCCUGCGGCUUAAUUUGACUCAACACGGGAAAACUCACCUGGCCCGGACACCGUGAGGAUUGACAGAUUGAGAGCUCUUUCUUGAUUCGGUGGUUGGUGGUGCAUGGCCGUUCUUANUNGGNGG
rnacentral:rRNA from 1 species